UAACUGGUGAUUCUCACGAAG
rnacentral:piRNA from 1 species